rnacentral:tRNA from 2 species
CUUAAGAUGUCGGAUAAACGAGCUAUCUUGAUAAGAUAGAUAUACAAUGUAUAAUUGUUCUUAAGC